rnacentral:lncRNA from 1 species
GGUGUUUAACGGCUGAGGGAUAUAUAUGGCCCUAAUGUAUAAUGAUGGGGACAUAUUUGAUAAAAAAAUUCAAACGGAGGAUAAAUAUGACCUAUUUUUAAUAAUACAAUGAUAUAUCUGACUCUUAACCAUUUAGAUAAAGACAAGAUGUUAUUUAUUUUCCUCAUAAAGGAAAAAGAAAAGAACGGACAAAAUUAAAAGAUCAGUGCGUGAAAAAACCUAAACGUCGGCUAUUAGAUCGAACUCACGCGGGGAAACCCAACAAACUUAGCAGGCAUGCGCCCUAACCGCUCGGCCAAAGCGACUUCCCGUCCUCAGCAUGUUCAUUUUCCGUUUUUCAUAAUAUUCAAUGGCACACCCUUUUUUAACCAAACUCUACUUAAUCCUCUUAAAUAAAUUAAAAAAAUUAGUAAAAACUUGAAAAAGGAUUUCCAAUUAGAAAGUGACAAAAAUUAUGUUUAAAGGGAUUAACUUUAGGGUUGCCACCUAACAUUAUUUUUGGUGUGCCCGGUCACCAUUUUAAAAAAAUAAUUUUUCUUUUUAAACACUUUGGACUCUAUAACUGAGUCUGCACCAGAGAUUCGGAUAAGGGAGUUCAUUUGACUCGGAGAGAAGGUGUUAGGCAUCCCCAAGUCCCAUAAAGGUCACCGUUGCGUAUACGAUCUACUUGGCUUUCAAAAUAUUUAAUUGAGGUAAAAAACACAAAAAAAAAAAAUAAACACACAAAAAGUUUGAGGUCGUCCCCACCUAAAUAAAAGAAAAAAAUGAAAGUAAAAUAAAAUAAAAUACUACAAGUUUCUACUUUUGUCCUUCAUUUACACUCACUUCGGAGCAUACCCCUACAUAAAAUAUAUACAAAUACUUCAGAGCAUUCCCCAGAUAAAUUUAGCUAAGGGGACAACCUCUCGCUUCAAAAGCUAACAAACAAUUCUAAAGCUUGCCUACCUGAGCGAUGACGGCCUAGCAUGCUUCUAGCGGUUAAAUAAAAAAAGUACAAAUUUAAAAAUAAACUAAAGUAAAUGGAAUUCUUUUCAUGUAUUUAGACCGAGCCCAAUGCUAAACCAUGUAAUUUGAUUAAGGGUUUUGGCAUGGUAUAACAACAUACUCAUAUAAUUGCUAGAAAAUAACCCUAGUUAUAAAUAUUGACAUCAAAUAGCCAAUAAAUGUUUAUCAUAACAAUAACGUGCAUAUCACAACUU